GAGGGGUGGGAUUGCCGGGUUGAAGGAUGGGAUGGCCGGGCUGAGGGACAACGGUGGCCCCACUGAGCUGAAGGGAGGGAUCACCGGACUGAGGAUCACCCCGCCGGGCUGAGGGGUGGGAUCCCGCGGAUCUGAGGGCAGCCUCCGGCCCGGCCCCUCAGGAGACGCCGCAGCCGCAGCGCCGCCCGAGCGCCUCCGGGCGCGGCAGCCUCGGACUGGGACAGCUCUGAGCAUUCCCUCAGCCAGGCGGGAAGCGCUUGGAAUUGCAGAACCGUCAGGGGUGAAAGAAAUCUUUAAGAUCAUCCAGUUCAACGUCAGCCCAGCACUGCCACUGCAAACCCAAAACCAUUUCCCGGUGUCAGACCCAGAGCUCUUUGCACCAUUGGAUCCUCAGACCAUCAGAGCUCCACCAGCCUCUCUCAUCCUUUGCGUCUUCUCCUCACUCAAGCUGAUGAGCAGCUUUUAUAAGAAAAAAUGCAGUUCUACUGCUGACAAGGUGAUCCAAUUUGUAAAUGCAACUUAGCCUGCCAAAAACAGCUACUGCCUUUUUCUUUCAGACGUGAGCCAAAAAUUCUAGAUUUUAAAAAAUUGUCAUGAUAUAGUAUGAUUUUAUUUGUCCUCAGGAAACAACAAUGACAAAAAGAAGAUAAUUAUAAAUAAAGGAACUUUAAUUGGCAAGUAAUACAGAACAGAACAGUCCAGUCAGUGGCAGAACACCAAAGUAUUUACAGAACUGUAAAUACUGUAAAAACUGUAAAUUUAGCAGCAGCAGCACCUGGAGGCAUCGAAUUCAAGAGCUUAUCCUACAGCUGGAAAGUUGCUGAAGUCUGUGACAUUCCACUGUAAAUAAAGGUGUUAUUAAAAAUUACGAACUGCCCUGUAAUGACUUUGAUAACUUCCUGUGCAGCAGCUCCUGCAAAAGAGAAGAAAAAACAGACGGCAGUUAGCAGGUUAGCAGGUCAUAUUUAAACAACAGUAAAAUAUGCUACUUAUCUAGAAGUCCCUAGAUUGGAAUUAUUUCAGAAGUGCCUGAUAAAUCUCGUAGGAGGCAAAAAUGCCCUUCAGUACUUCCCACUAUAAAAGAAGAUCAGGAAGCUGCUACUUCAAAAGUUAGUUUUGCAUACACUUUCUCUCCAUGUACAGACACAGAGAGUAAAAAUGGGCGAGCACACAGACCCAUGCAAGUUGCGACCUCUCUCAUCUGAGACGCUGAAUUAAAAAAAAAAAAAAAAAAAAAA